GGCCAUUGACAGAUCAGUCUUUGCUUGAUUGCUUCUUUGCUGGCUCAUGUCAAGCUUCAGGGAAUCCAAUCCCGCCCCUCACAGUUGGCUGCCAGUAACAGAUAGACAAGAAGUUCUUACGUUGCCUCUCAUUAAUGGCGUUGCUCCAAGUAUGUUCCUCCCCCCUUCCCUUCUCAGCCAUCAACAGCCCCACCUACCCCCUUACAGUGUCUGCUUAUGGACAAUUGCCUCUGAGCUCUCUUCUCUCCUACUUUCAUUGCUUGCCGGGUCCUGGGAGAAGGGGGGGUCUGGAAUGCUCUCUAGUGAUAACGUGUCAGCCAGCUGCUCCUGCUCUGCUUCUCCCAUUAUCUCCCAGAUUUGCCCCUCUUCUAUCUCUGAGCUGUGACCCGCUGCAAACCACCUUUGUAAAUCUAUACUGUCCUCAGGAAGGAUCAGGAGGGGGAGGCGGCCCCCACCAUUCCUCCUCCGAUGUCCAAUCCCUGACCCUUCAUGAUAUAGAUUCUCUAGGUGAUAUACAAUAAGUUAAAUCAAAUAAUUUAAAAAUUUAUCAUUAAUACAGAUUCACACUAAAAGUCAAAGGAGAACGAUAGAAUAAAACAUGGUCCUACACAACUCAUUUUACACAUGUGAAGAGAUAGAGCCACACUGGAAAUCUAACCAUCAAAAUGACUGAUCCCUCCUUCUCCCUGAUCCCUAUACACAGCUAGGUGCAUAUGGGAAGAGGUAUUCCUUCAGGUACCAAGAUACCAAGCCAUAAAAGGCUUUAUUGGGCCCAGAAGGAAACUGGAAGCCAGUGAAAGUGACAAAGGACCCAUGUAAUAUGUUCAUAAUGCCUGUCCCCAGCCAAGACCUCUUACCGUCGUAUUGUAUUCAAUUGUCUUAGCCUCCCCCCUCUGCCCUUUAAAGCCAUCUAAAUUAGUGUCCAAUACCACAUGGAGGUGAAUUCUGUCAAUAACUCUUUUUCUGUCUU